GCUGAGCUCGGUAACUUGGGCUUGUCACUAAGUGGAACAUUAAGGUAUUUGAAUAAUUUGGUAUUGAAUUCAAAUUUUACAUUAUGAGCUAGCUUUGAUUUGCCCGUUUCCAAGUUGGGCAGUGGAUGCUAUGUUUCAGGCUAACGCUUGAAUCAUAUUCUCCCUGAACUUGAGGGUAAUACGUGAGGCUGGUUUCACAGAGCAUCGAUUACCUCUCACUCUUAACGGUGGAAGGAUUACAACUCAUUUGCUCAUAUUGUCAAUUAGCCUUGGAAACCACCAAAUUCAACAAAUAUUUUU
rnacentral:SRP_RNA from 1 species